GCCAGUGUGGCAUAGUGGUUGAAGUGUUGGACUUGUCUCUGGAGACCAGGGUUCAAUUCCCAGCUCAGCCA